rnacentral:sRNA from 1 species
UACAUGUGAAUUUGCGUGAAUAAUAGGUC